rnacentral:rRNA from 1 species
UACCAGCACCCCGAGUGGUCGGGACGUUUAUUGGGCCUAAAGCAUCCGUAGCCGGUUCUACAAGUCUUCCGUUAAAUCCACCUGCUCAACAGAUGGGCUGCGGAAGAUACUAUGGAGCUAGGAGGCGGGAGAGGCAAGCGGUACUCGAUGGGUAGGGGUAAAAUCCGUUGAUCCAUUGAAGACCACCAGUGGCGAAGGCGGCUUGCCAGAACGCGCUCGACGGUGAGGGAUGAAAGCUGGGGGAGCAGGCCGG